rnacentral:rRNA from 1 species
CGGGGAAUAUUGCACAAUGGGCGCAAGCCUGAUGCAGCCAUGCCGCGUGUGUGAAGAAGGCCUUCGGGUUGUAAAGCACUUUCAGCGAGGAGGAAGGUGGUGAGCUUAAUACGCUCAUCAAUUGACGUUACUCGCAGAAGAAGCACCGGCUAACUCCGUGCCAGCAGCCGCGGUAAUACGGAGGGUGCAAGCGUUAAUCGGAAUUACUGGGCGUAAAGCGCACGCAGGUGGUUUGUUAAGUCAGAUGUGAAAUCCCCGGGCUCAACCUGGGAACUGCAUUUGAAACUGGCAAGCUAGAGUCUCGUAGAGGGGGGUAGAAUUCCAGGUGUAGCGGUGAAAUGCGUAGAGAUCUGGAGGAAUACCGGUGGCGAAGGCGGCCCCCUGGACGAAGACUGACGCUCAGGUGCGAAAGCGUGGGGCAGCAAACAGGAUUAGAUACCCUGGUAGUCCACGCUGUAAAACGAUGUCGAUUUUGGAGGUUGUGCCCUUGAGGCGUGGCUUCCGGAGCUAACGCGUUAAAUCGACCGCCUGGGGAGUACGGCCGCAAGGUU